GGAAAACUUGGGAAGAAAACUUUUAAAAUGAGCGCAAUUGACAAACAUGCACCAUUGAGAUCCAGGCGGGUUAAAAAUCGGAAGUCCCCCUGGAUAACAAAAGAAUUAAGACAAAAGAUACGACAUCGUGAUAGUUUAAAAAAGAAAGCGAAUUUAUCUAAUGAUCCUCAAAUUUGGCAGCAAUACAAACAGACUCGAAACCGAAUAAACAAAAACAAUGAAAUUAAGGAAGUUAAGGUGGCUCGCUUAGAAAUGUUGAAAAUGCGGAAACUAGAUCACCUUUUUGAAGAGA